GAUGAACGCUAGCGGCAGGCUUAAUACAUGCAAGUCGAGGGGCAGCAUGAGUGUAGCAAUACAUUUGAUGGCGACCGGCAAACGGGUGCGGAACACGUACACAACCUUCCGAUAAGUGGGGAAUAGCCCAGAGAAAUUUGGAUUAAUACCCCGUAACAUAUAGAGGUGGCAUCAUCUUUAUAUUAUAGCUACGGCGCUUAUUGAUGGGUGUGCGGCUGAUUAGAUAGUUGGCGGGGUAACGGCCCACCAAGUCUACGAUCAGUAGCUGAUGUGAGAGCAUGAUCAGCCAAACGGGCACUGAGACACGGGCCCGACUCCUACGGGAGGCAGCAGUAAGGAAUAUUGGUCAAUGGACGCAAGUCUGAACCAGCCAUGCCGCGUGAAGGAUUAAGGUCCUCUGGAUUGUAAACUUCUUUUAUCUGGGACGAAAAAAGGCGAUUCCUCGUCACUUGACGGUACCAGAUGAAUAAGCACCGGCUAACUCCGUGCCAGCCGCCGCGGUAAAAC
rnacentral:rRNA from 1 species